GCUCGCCGGCGGCGGCCGAGUGGGGCGACGCCGAGGGGCGGGCCCGGCGCGGCCCGGCCGGCGAUUGGUCCUAUCCGCUUCGGGGGCGGGGCAGGGAGGAGCGGCGCGAGCGGGCUGCAAAGGGGCGGGAGCCGAGAACUUUCUAGAGAAGCGGUUUAACGGGUUGGGGCUCUUGGACUGAGGGUAUUGGAGUGGUUUGGUCUUUUUGUUUGUUUCGUUUUGUCUUACGGUUUGCUUUUCUGGUUGAUGGUCUUAGGGGUGCCCUCCUCUCCUACACCGGGACCUCUGGGAUUUCGAAGAUCACAGUCUUCCCUAUGUCAUUCCUCCCCACCCCCACCCCACCCCCUCUGCCCGCGUCUAAGCGAUUUUUCCAGAUCCUUCUCUAUCUAUCCUCGGGACUCCCAAGUCCGGGCCUGCCUGGUGGCCUGCCCUGUUCACCCAGGCCCACAGUGUAAUAGCUGGAGACAGGCAGUCAGAUGUGAAGUGGCAAAGGUCGGGCCUCCCGUGAUUGUGCCACAGAGGCCCGUGGUUCCAGGCGUGGGCACCUGAGUAGUGUGGGAAAGAGAGGUCGAGGGAGUGAAAGCGUGGGCCCAGGAAGGAACAGUUUCAGCCCAGGUGCACAAAUUGGACACAAGUUUGCCCUCCCUGCAGCCUGGCAGGCCCACCACAUGAGCUGCUUUCUAAAAUGCCAGGAGCAGAUUUAUAAGAGUCAAAGACUUGGGGUGAAUGGGAAUGAAGCUUUUCUUCUCAAUCUGCUGCUCCUAAGAGAUGCCCGUGGAGUUCCGAGUCUGUGUGGUUAAAACCAUAAAGCUCUAAUUACUGAAACAAUGAUGGCUUGAUCUGCUGGCUUGAUGGAAGAUCCGUUUGGAGAGGUCCUGACCCUUCCCAACCGGAUAGACAGCCUGGAAUGACAGCACGGAAGAGAGAGGAACAAUUGAAAACAAAAGAAAAGGAUUCUUCAGAGAAGAAACAGAAGUGGAAACUAGAACGUGUGGAACAGAUUUUCCCAGAAUGCAAACAAAAAUACUGCUAAAGAUGAUGAAAACAAACAAACAAACAGAGGAAAAUAAUGAAGUGAAAUGCACGCAGGAGUCAGAUGGGAGGCCCAGCCUGUUCUGCCCUGGUGCUGCAGCACUGAGCAGUGUUUUGUACGUUCCAGUGGAAGGGAGCCAGGGGUGUUGCAAGUGCUGGGACAGCAGGAGAAGGCCACCCCAGGAUGUACCUGAGCAUCUGUGCACAUCUGUGGAGGAGGCGUAGAUGAAUCCCAUCCUGUAAGAGUUGAAGGUGUGAGAAUCCUGAGGUGGAGGCUGCUGGAUUCUGGGAGCCAAGAAACUGGCCUCUGAGACACUUAGGUUCUAUGUGUGGCUGGAUGAGGAGGAGAGGAACACUGAGGAAGAUCUCCCCCACACACCCUCAGCUCCUUCUCCUCAGCUGUGGUGGACAAGCAAAUGGUCCCACCUAAUUCCAUGAGCCAUGUUGAUUCUGUCAGCGAGGGAGUGGGAAUCUGGGAGGCCAAGGCCACCUUCUUUCUCCUUGGGCCCUCGGGCUCAUUUGAUUUUUCAUUGUGUUCACCUCCCACCCCUAGGACUUGCUCACUGAUACUACUGGAAGAUGACGUGGGUUUGUUACUUAGUCUUAUCAACAUUUUACCUAAUGCUGUAUCCUGAAAAGACAGGGACCUAGUGUUGGAGUGAGAUUGGGGUCAGGACUGAGGCACAAGAUUCCAGAAUACACUGCUGUGCGGAACCUGGGGCAGUAUACAGUUGUCCUCUAUCACCCUGUCCUGGUGGCACACUACCCCAUAGUGGGAUUAUGGGCUUCAUGGUUUCCCGUGUCCCUUUGCUUCAGAAUCUCUAACUGCAGAAUCUCUAGCUUCAGGCCUGGGACUCUAGGAUGCCUCCAGACCAGUGGUGACUUUACUGUUUUCUUUCCUUCUAUCUUCCUUUGGGAAGGUCAAAAUCAAGUCCUCCCUGAUUGCUCCUCCUGACUAAGAGGUCUUUUCUUGGCUGCAUAUAUCUGGUGUUGAGUGACUGACAUCAUAUUUCAGGUCAUCACGGGGUCCUGGUCUCACGUGUUCUUGUCACAGUUAUGGGUGGGGCGCAUGUCUUGCUUUUGAAUAAGAUUACCAACUUCUGGGCUCAAAUCAAGGAUGCCUGGGGCUUGGGACAGUUAGAAUCUGCUGCUGUGUGGAGCAGGCUUUCUGUUUACUGGGAGGGCUUCUGUGUGUAAGUGACCCAUCAGCAGGUGCUCCUCUGCUCCUAGCAUGUUCUCCCUUCAUUUAUCUGUUCACUUAGCAAACAUCUCCUGUUUACUGAACUCCCCGUAUGAGCGACAAAGCUUUCAGAGAUGACUGGCGGCCUCUCUGUCGUGGUUGUCUUGAGCAGUUAGUUGUUCUGCAGCUUUGCAGCUUUCCCUGCCUCUGUGCACUUCCUUUGAGUUUGGUUACAAACCAAACCCAUUAGGCUAACCGAGAUGCCUAUUGACAUAUGAAAACAAGACACUGGUGGUCAGGUUCUCCUAGCAUCCCUCAGUCCCUACCUGUUUGAGGCCCUCCUGGCUGGCAUACCCCACCCCCUACCCUGAAUUCUCCAGCCGGAGUACUGGUCUGGGCUCCCCGCCUCCCAGCUCCUCUGGCCCCUGUAUAAGUCACCGAUUUUGGUUACACCUGUCUCUUGACCCCGGCUGCCCCCCUUGGUCUGCUGCUCCUCUCUUGCUUUCCUUCCCCCUUUCGUCACAUGGCCCCGCUCAGUCUGGCCGUGUUCACUCUGGACUCUCCCAGAUGUCUCCAUCUCUACCUGUUUUCUCCCUUAUAUCUAUAAUAAAAACUUCAGCCCCUUCGGAGCAGUCAUGUUCUCCUUUUAUUUCUUUUUUUCAUUCAGUUCACAGCUGUGCCUCCAAUCCCAAGCUUCUCCCUAAUCCUUUGUCUCUGUUAGGUGUUAGGCAAAUUUCCAGACAAUUAGACCAGCCCUAGCAGCUGAGGUAUUGCUUCUCCUCACCAGAAGGGGGCAUGUGAGAUCACAUGACUCGCUGAAGCCAGGAGAUCCUAAUUGGAGUCUGGAUUUAGGUCCAAGGCUGAAAACCCAGAAGACUAAAGACUCCCCAUUUUACAGAGGGGGUAAGUUUAAAUAAAACGUUGCUAGUGGUUAAGGUCGGGUCUUGAUAUAUAAGCAGAAAUCACAGUGAACAGUGACUGCUUUCCUUGUUAAAGCAGUAGAGGCAGUGACAGUGUAGAGAGAGGAACAAUAAAAUUCAAAGUCUGCUCUUGCCCAACAACCGCUGACACCGUGAACACGGGACGGUGAACUGACAAAACUGGGUGGCCAACCACUCAGCCCAACUUGUCUCCAACAGUUGUUCCAAUAACUAGGCUACAAGCCGAGGGAGAGCCCAAACGUUUCGAAAUGGCUCUCGGAUCUCUCUGCAGCUCCUGUUCUUUAGUCCAAAGGUAGACAGUAUGCAGGCUGAUAGGUAGAGAUGAGGAGGACGGGUAAUACUUGAGUCUAGAAGGGCAGAAAGAUGCUCUCUGUUUUCACCUAAUUUUUGAGUUAGUUGCUUAGUGUGAUAGGUUUCCUCUUUCAAAUUUGUCUUAAAAAUAUAUUCAGUGUUUUGUUUUCAAAAGAACAAAACCAAAAAAAAAAAAAUUCAGUCUUUCUCUGCCAUUGACUAUCCCUAUUUGUCGUCUCCAAAUCUUUUUGGAAAGCUUAAAUUCUAGAAAACUGACUUGGGUUUGUAGCUCUUAGGAGGUCGAGACUCAUCUGUGGCAAUCACGGCUAGGCCUCAACAGUCACAUGACCACAGUAUGCUUUUGUUGUACGAAAGCCUUUAGAAGAACAGAAAGAAAUCUCCUGUAGUCUGUGGUCAGUUCGUUUAGAUGGCUUUGUUUCUUUGAACCUGGGGGCAGUGGGGCAGACAGCAGCUGUUGACACUGUCAGCAUCGCCUGUGACAGCAGUGAAUGUGACUGUCUAAACUGGAGAGGAAGGCCGCCUGUGUGAGGGACGUGUAAAUCCACCCACGUGUGAGCAUACCUAGUUCCUGUGGGAAGAAAAUGUCUUCUUCAUUCUCUGUGUGGCAAUAAUCAGACCCAGCAUCUCGUCUGGGAUGAUGUGUAUGAUGUGACGUCUUCACGCAUCAGUUUCCCACAGAGUACUCCACAUGUUUCCAUGUCACAGGUAGUAUUAGUGUCAGUGGACUGGGGAAAACCCAGUGUAGAUCAAGGCACCAUACAUAGAGUGUGAUGCCUUCUGCCGCUCAGCGCUCAAGGUCUCAAAGGCCUGUCCACCCCUGCUGACCGAGCUAGCCUUCUGGCUGUGUUACAGGCUGAAGCCUCUGGGUCUGGUCUCACCUUGCUAAACUCUUGCACAAUUUUUAGUCACUCUUUUUCCAGCUCCUGGUCCUGGAUCAUCUUCUCAAAGGCAUGGAACUGUUUCUGUUCUAACCGGUGCAGCCUUUGCUCUCUUUACCAGUGCUUGCAGGAUGGCCAUGUGCUGCCCACGGGCUGGGAGCAUUCUGACUCUCUCACCCUCUCUUUUUAGUUCCUCCUUCUUUCAUAUGUUUAUCCAAACCCACCUCGGGCCCCUCUGCCUAGGAAAACAAGUCCGGUAAUUUCUUGACUGUCAGGAACAGUGGCUACUUUUGACCUUGCCAUCCAGGAAUUGGUGCAUAAAGGACUUGAUGUACCUGCUGUAGAGGAUAAAGGCAUGUUCAAUGUUGCUUGCUUGAGUGAACGGAUGCCAUGUCGAUGACUUGCUCCUGAGUGGGUGUACUGACAGGGUGGAGUAUUGAAUUCCACUGCAUUCUCAAGCUGGGGAAGGAUCUUCACCCUGUCUUUGGGUGGAAGGGUGAUAUUUCCAUGGUUAGACAUCAGACCCAAAACCUCUGAUUCAGAUUUCUGCCUUCAGAAUACAGCCACAUGGAAGAAUCUUUUGUUUUGAGCUCCAUCUUGUUUGAAGACGGGUAUCUCUGACACACAGAAGAGGUAAUAAUGUCAGUCACAGCUACAAGGGGUUGAGAUGCAGUAAUAUGGUUUUUCUGGGUUGCUGACGCUAAAUACCACAUGUGUCCAGUUUGGAGACUAGUCACUUGGGAUUAUCCGAUUUAUUCAUGGAUAAUUCCAUGGAAGUUCCAAAGUUCUAAUGGGUGCUGAUAGAUUUGGAGGGAGAACAAUGUCAUAAAGCAGGCAGUAGCUAAUAGGAAGGUCAGAUACCUAGCCAAAAGAUGGGAUUGUCUGGAGAUUAUGGCAGGAGAACUUCAGCAACCCUGACUGGUGGAGUGUAGGCAGGUGGAAGCCCAUAGGGCAGGCAUGACAAUACUUCUUUCCUGUGGCUCCUAGCUUAGGGAGAUCAUCUCAGUGUUUCUUAUAAGUGUUCAUUAACAAAGUUACCUAUAAUUUUCAGGUGUUUUCCUACAGGUUCCCAAAUAGGGAAGAUCAUAAGGAGCAGGAUAGCCAUGGGAGCCCAGGGCCAAGUGUGGGCUGAGGUGAGGUGAGGUGCUAAGGCAGGUCCCUUCCUGUGAUUCUCUAAAGAGAGCAGGGAAGAGGUACUUGAACUGAGUCUUGGAAGGUGAUAGGUGUUUCCCAGUGCACAAGGCUGGGGGGCGGGGACAUCCCAGACAGGUGAGAGCACAGCAUCACUACAAGGCUAGGGGGGUGGGGACAUCCCAGGCAGGUGAGAGCGCAGCAUCACAUAUGCUUAGCCAUUUAAAGAAACAGGAAGUUUAUCCUGCCCCAAAGUUCUUCACUUUCCUCUCUCCUUUGAAGCGGAUUCUCUUUAUUUUCAGUAUCAAAGACUUUUACCCUUUGAAGUCUGAAACUUAGGAAGGAUGCUACAUGCUUCCUUCCGCUUUCUGAUUGAAUUUGAGGCCCAUUCUACAGAAGGGAAUCCAUUUAAUAUUACAAACCUGGUCAGGAACUCAGGCUAAGGAGAUCAUAGACAUGAGUGGGGGAAGUUACUUCUGAUGUUUGAAUGUGAUGUGCCCACCAAAUGCUUUCCAUGUGUUGUGUCUUGCCCAUGGUCCCAUGCUGUCAUCUGCUCUGCUCUGAGAACCUUCUCCUCGCUCUGAACAGCACUUAAUGCAGAGGCUCUCGUCUAACUGCUCAGGACUCAGAAAUGAGUUGGGGUGCUCCAUCCAAAAUGGAACAUGUUUGUUACUCCUCACCAGGCUCAUGGAAGCGGGGGCAGAGGGAGGGUUCGAGUGAUGUGGGGCACUGCUGUCUUCCAGCAGUUCUGAUUACCUACACAAAACCAGAGCAAGAUUUGGCUCACCAACAUUCUAUCACAGAGCAGGGAGCGCUCCUGAGGCCCUGCCACUCCCUGAGGACUUGUAGGCAGUUAAAGGUUGCUAGGAGAGAGGGUCUCUAAGGCACAGUCUUUCCCUGAGGACCUGUGGGCAGAGUUAGAAGUACUUUGUUUAGUGUUGUACCUACCAGUGAGUUGUCCUGCUCCUUCAAUUGACUCACCAAGGGAAAAAGUGGGAGCGGAUCAGCAGUGGGAGGGGCCAAGAGGGGGCCAUGGGGAUGAAUGGGGUCAAAGUGAAUAUGCAUGAAUGAAAUAGCAAAGUGAAACCCACUGCUUUGCUAUUAGCAUAUUAAUAAUACAUUAAUAAAAUGAAACUAAACAACCAAGCAAACAGCUUGGCAUAUUACAAGAGUACCUGUAGGGCUUAGUACUCUCAACAUUGGUGGAAUCUGUUAAAAUAGGAUAUGUUACUAGGGAUGUAGCUCAGUGACAGAAUGUUUAUCUAACAUGUACAAACCUCUGAGGACAGCCUCAGAACUGUAAAUAAUUGCUUUAAGUGGCAGAUCUGGUAAUAUGUUUCAUCUAGACUGUGAAAUGUACAGCAAAGUCCUUGGAAGAACAUGAACAUUGUCUGCUACACCAUCUGGAUAUGUUACUUUUUUGAUGUCUCCCUUUAUUUGCACUUACAUAUGUAUACAUGUAUGCAUUCACACAGGGAUAAAUAAAUGUAUGUGUUAUAUAUAUGUAUUUAUAUGUACUAUAUAUGUAUAUAUAUAUAUACUGGCUAUGACUAUGUACACAUAUAUCCACAUGUGGUUAAGUUGUAUAAAAUUAUAUACAUGUAUUAUAAUUUUCUCUUAAUUUUCAAA